rnacentral:rRNA from 1 species
UACAGAGGUCCCAAGCGUUGUUCGGAUUCACUGGGCGUAAAGGGUGCAUAGGUGGUGAGGUAAGUCGGAUGUGAAAGCUCGGAGCUCAACUCCGAAAUGGCAUUGGAAACUACCUUGCUCGAGGGUUGGAGGGGGGACUGGAAUGCUUGGUGUAGCAGUGAAAUGCGUAGAUAUCAAGCGGAACACCAGUGGCGAAGGCGAGUCCCUGGACAACUCCUGACACUGAGGCACGAAAGCUAGGGGAGCAAACAGG